rnacentral:rRNA from 1 species
GAUGAACGCUGGCGGCGUGCCUAAUACAUGCAAGUCGAGCGAACAGACGAGGAGCUUGCUCCUCUGACGUUAGCGGCGGACGGGUGAGUAACACGUGGAUAACCUACCUAUAAGACUGGGAUAACUUCGGGAAACCGGAGCUAAUACCGGAUAAUAUAUUGAACCGCAUGGUUCAAUAGUGAAAGACGGUUUUGCUGUCACUUAUAGAUGGAUCCGCGCCGCAUUAGCUAGUUGGUAAGGUAACGGCUUACCAAGGCGACGAUGCGUAGCCGACCUGAGAGGGGGACGGGCCAACUGGGAAAUAGGGACAGUGCCAGACCCCUCGGGGGGCCACGGGAGGGAGAUCUUCCGGAUGGGGCAAAAGCGUGGAGGGCCAACGCCGGGGAGGGGGUGAGGGUCUUGGAAUCGUAAAGCUUUUUAUUUUGGGAAGAACAAAUGUAUAAAUAACAAUGCACGUUUUGAGGGUACCUAUUGAAAAACCCCCGCUAAAUACGGG